GAGUUUGAUCGUGGCUCAGAUUGAACGCUGGCGGCAUGCCUUACACAUGCAAGUCGAACGGCAGCACGGGAGCUUGCUCCUGGUGGCGAGUGGCGAACGGGUGAGUAAUGCAUCGGAACGUAUCCUGGAGUGGGGGAUAACGUAGCGAAAGUUACGCUAAUACCGCAUAUUCUGUGAGCAGGAAAGCGGGGGACCUUCGGGCCUCGCGCUCUUGGAGCGGCCGAUGUCGGAUUAGCUAGUUGGUGAGGUAAAGGCUCACCAAGGCGACGAUCCGUAGCAGGUCUGAGAGGAUGAUCUGCCACACUGGAACUGAGACACGGUCCAGACUCCUACGGGAGGCAGCAGUGGGGAAUUUUGGGACAAUGGGGGCAACCCUGAUCCAGCCAUGCCGCGUGAGUGAAGAAGGCCUCGG
rnacentral:rRNA from 1 species